rfam:Equus caballus cont2.20120, whole genome shotgun sequence.
AAGCAACACUCUGUGGCAGAUGAUUGAAAAUGUCUGACACAAUUUGAGCUUGCUAUAGCAAGAAAGUCUAACCUAUUCCGGUGUUCUCUUCUCCGUGAGACGAGCCGUUAUAUAGACUCAAACAGU